rnacentral:SRP_RNA from 1 species
UUCGGCAUCGUUGGCGUUUGCGCCGUGAAUCCCGCCAGGACCGAGAGGUAGCAACGGUAAGGCAGUGAGCGUGCAACGGUGCCACUUCG